rnacentral:rRNA from 1 species
AUUGAACGCUAGCUACAGGCUUAACACAUGCAAGUCGAGGGACCGGCGCACGGGUGAGUAACACGUAUCCCCCCUGCCCUUUACUCGGGGAUAGCCUUUCGAAAGAAAGAUUAAUACCCGAUAUAAAGGAUGGGUCUGCGUUCCAUUAGGUUGUGGGUGAGGUCCCGGCCCACCAAGCCUUCGAUGGAUAGGGGGUCUGAGAGGAAGGACCCCCGCAUUGGAACUGGGACCCGGUCCAAACUGCUACGGGAGGCAGCAGUGAGGAAUAGUGGUCAAGGGGCGUGAGCCUGAACCAGCCAAGUAGCGUGAAGGAUGAAGGCUUAUUGGUCGUAAUCUUCUUUUAUAUAAGAAUAGGUAUUAUAUGAAUAAGGAUCGGCUAACUACGUGCCAGCCGCCGCGGUAAUUC